rnacentral:rRNA from 1 species
UGGGGAAUUUUGCACAAUGGGGGAAACCCUGAUGCAGCGACGCCGCGUGAUUUAGAAGGCCUUCGGGUUGUAAAAAUCUUUUCUAUGGGAAGAAAAUGACAGUACCAUAGGAAUAAGGACCGGCUAAUUACGUGCCAGCAGCCGCGGUAAUACGUAAGGUCCGAGCGUUGUCCGGAAUCAUUGGGCGUAAAGGGUACGUAGGCGGGUAAGCAAGUUAGAAGUGAAAUCCUGUAGCUCAACUACAGUAAGCUUUUAAAACUGCUCAUCUUGAGAUAUGGAAGGGAAAGUGGAAUUCCUAGUGUAGCGGUGAGAUGCGCAGAUAUUAGGAGGAAUACCGGUGGCGAAGGCGACUUUCUGGCCAUAAUCUGACGCUGAGGUACGAAAGCGUGGGUAGCAAACAGG